rnacentral:rRNA from 1 species
GAUGAACGCUGGCGGCGUGCCUAAUACAUGCAAGUCGGGCGAACAGAUGAGGAGCUUGCUCCUCUGACGUUAGCGGCGGACGGGUGAGUAACACGUGGAUAACCUACCUAUAAGACUGGGAUAACUUCGGGAAACCGGAGCUAAUACCGGAUAAUAUAUUGAACCGCAUGGUUCAAUAGUGAAAGACGGUUUUGCUGUCACUUAUAGAUGGAUCCGCGCCGCAUUAGCUAGUUGGUAAGGUAACGGCUUACCAAGGCAACGAUGCGUAGCCGACCUGAGAGGGUGAUCGGCCACACUGGAACUGAGACACGGUCCAGACUCCUACGGGAGGCAGCAGUAGGGAAUCUUCCGCAAUGGGCGAAAGCCUGACGGAGCAACGCCGCGUGAGUGAUGAAGGUCUACGGAUCGUAAAACUCUGUUAUUAGGGAAGAACAAAUGUGUAAGUAACUAUGCACGUCUUGACGGUACCUAAUCAGAAAGCCACGGCUAACUACGUG